CCUACGGGUGGCAGCAGUGGGGAAUAUUGCACACUGGGGGAAACCCUGAUGCAGCGACGCCGCGUGAGUGAAGAAGUAAUUCGUUAUGUAAAGCUCUAUCAGCAGGGAAGAAAAUGACGGUACCUGAGUAAGAAGCCCCGGCUAACUACGUGCCAGCAGCCGCGGUAAUACGUAGGGGGCAAGCGUUAUCCGGAUUUACUGGGUGGAAAGGGAGCGUAGACGGCAGUGCAAGUCUGGAGUGAAAGGCGGGGGCUCAACCGCGGGACUGCAUUGGGAACUGGCGCGCUGGAGUGCCGGAGGGGUAGGCGGAAUUCCUAGUGUAGCGGUGAAAUGCGUAGAUAUUAGGAGGAACACCAGUGGCGAAGGCGGCCUACUGGACGGUGACUGACGCUGAGGCUCGAAAGCGUGGGGAGCAAACAGGAUUAGAUACCCCAGUAGUC
rnacentral:rRNA from 1 species